GGAUCAUUGUCGAAAUCGAACGGAAGAACGACCCGCGAAUCGUCAUUGCGUAGUAGACAGAGCCCGUGAGCACCUAACGCUCAUGGGUCUCGCGUCGCGUCGGCGCGGGUGUACUCGAGACCCGCGUCGUACCGGCGGACAAACAACGUCAGCACGGAUCGUGCCAAGGAGCUGCAUGGAGAGAAUCGUCGUCCCACGCCUUUGAUAGUCCUCGACGCGGGACGGGGGACGCACGCAAUCUCUACACAAAAGUCUAAACGACUCUCGGCAACGGAUAUCUCGGCUCUUGCAUCGAUGAAGAACGUAGCGAAAUGCGAUACUUGGUGUGAAUUGCAGAAUCCCGUGAACCAUCAAUUCUUUGAACGCAAGUUGCGCCCGAAGCCAUUCGGCCGAGGGCACGCCUGCCUGGGCGUCGUGAAUCCCCUUGCCCCUAGGCACCCGCAUGAGCAUUGGCGGGGACRUAUGCUCGGGCGCAGAAUAUGGUCUCCCGUGGGAUCGGCAUGCACGGCAUGUCGAGGUGCGGUUGGCCGAAAAUCGAGCAUGGCGGUGACGGGCACCACGGCGUUCGGUGGAUCGAAUGAGAUUGGCUGCGUCGUGGGCUCGGCAUGCGGCGGGCUCCGGACUUUGAAUAUCCCCGAGUGCGAUCCCAGGUCAGGCGGGGCUACCCGCUGAGUUUAAGCAUAUCAAUAAGCGGAGGAAAAGAAACUAACGAGGAUUCCCUUAGUAGCGGC
rnacentral:rRNA from 1 species